GCAAAAUACAACGCAGGGCUGAUUUUGGCGUUUGCCGUGGAAGCUUUCCGAGGCAGACUGAACGGGCUGAAAAACAAGCGGAUGCGUGUGCACGGAUUUUUCGGGAUCAGUAGCACAAGCGGCUGUUCUUCACCGACCUGCCCUGGUGUGAUGAGGUGUUUCCGCAUGCAGAGCUUCAGACCGGUAAGAUCAUCAUCAUGUCCUGUCCAGUUUGUCCAGUACAGCUCCAUCACCUACUAAAACCUGUCUGUAAUUUGCUGACUGUGCUGGACUCUGGACACGAUGACCCCCUGCAACGUGUAUAUUUAAAUCUGUCUGGACUUAAAUGACUACUACAGGUCUCACAUCAGCACAGACAUUGCUGAGUGUCAGUAUACGAGUCAUAAACACGGGUCUUCAGACCUGUAUUUAGCGCUCUUCGGCUUCAGUUGUGCCCAAAAGUUUACAUCCCCCCGGCUCUUUAUGUAUCGUGUUGCAUUCUUGAGCAUUGGUGAACGUUUGCACCUCUUGUAGUACAAGUCUCUCAGUCGUUCUCAGUGUGAAAAGAUGGAUCUGAACAUCAUAUUGAGACUGCUGUAAAAUAUGUAGGAGAUGCUGGAAAAGUAAAGAAUGUGCAGGACCUGGAGGAUUUUUCUGAAGAACAGUGGGCAGUUUAACUGCUCAGGACAAACAAGGGACUCAUGAACAAUUCUCACAGAACAUAAACACAGUUGUCGAUCAUCCAGGUAACGACACACAGGAUUAAAAAUCAAUGGUGUGAACUUUUGAACGGGGUAAUUUUUCUAAAUUCAGCUAUCAUCUUGUCUUGUGGACUAUAUGUAAACAUCUGUUAUGUGAAAUAAUAGAUUAUUCAGGGCAGAACUAAAUAAACAACAACAUGGGAUUUUUAUGAUCCUCUUAUUUAUUUAACAGUAUUCAAAUUUAGCAGAUUCUGUAAGGGGUAUGCAAACUUUUGGGCAUGACUGAAUAUUAUGAUCUGAUCACUUGUGUCACUUAGUCAUCCGGUUGCGUGAGUAGUGCGAAUAACCAGAGGGAAGGAGCUUGAGUAAGACUGGGAAAGACUGUAAUGAUGAAACUGUUUGAGAAUUGGGAUUAUUUAUAAGAUUUAACGUUCUAUAUACGCGCGCACACACACACACACACACACACACACACAUGCGUGUGCGUAUAUCGUGUGUAAGCAGUGCUGUGCAUAAACCUGUGCAGAUACAGCUGAAGUUCAUUACCUAACGUUCACAUCAAACAUCAGAAUGGGGGAAAGUGUGACUUCAGAGAUUUGAACCGUGACGUGGACGUUUGUGCCGGUCAGACUGUCUGAGUUUCCAUCUCCUGAAGAACUCCUGCACAGAAUGGUGCAAAAAACAAAAAAGCAUAAUUAGUUUUAAGUCCAUAUUGCCCAUCCCUACUACACAUGCGCUUUUCCUUUCCCGCUGUUAUUUCCCCGGAUUCGAGAUGCUGCCGUCGCUCCUUUUUACAGACUGAGCACAGGCGUAUAUCUCCUUUCAGUGGAUUCUCCGAACAAGGUGUUUACAUGCAACGAAUUUCCGAUUAAAACAGGCAGAUAUAGUCUUAAAGUGCACCUUGUACGCUUUUUCAUAUAUUACCUUUCAUGUAGCGUGUUAUAGAGCUGUUUGUGAAUGUAAAAAGUCUGCAAUGUUUAAAAAAUCAAAGUACACGACAAAUGGAGUUGUUGUCUCCCAAUAGAAGGAAUCGAUUCUGAACAGCUGAAUCGAGUCGUUAGUGAUUCCAGACUUUACUUCCUGUACUAACCUACGUAGGUUCGUAACAAAAAGCCCCGCCUCUGGUCUUCAUCGGCUGCUCGCUGACAGACGGUGCUAUAACUCGUUACGGUAGUGGGCGUUCCCUUUUUGAAACACGCUGACAGCGGUAGACCAAUCACAACAGACUGGGACAUCUGACCAGUCAGAGCAGAGUAUGCUCUCUGGAAGGAGGAGUUUAGAACGAAUCCUUUAGAACGGAUCAUUGAACAAGUCGUUUGUGACACGUGGGGAGGGGUUAAUGCUGCAGUUUUUUUUUUAAUCUUGGAUGCAUGUAAAUCUAUUGUAUGAGAGCUUUAAAACAAAAUUAGGCAUGUUUCAAAACCAUAAUAGGUGCGCUUUGAUCUGUACAGUUGAAUCCGGACAGUUGAAGAUUCACCAGGUCUUCAACUUUCCAGUCUCAGUAAUCUCGCAUGAAUACAAUCUGGACGUAUGCGGUGCGCAUUCGGACAGCUCUUCCGCGCCAGUCCCGUUGUUAUGUGCAUUGCUUCCGUAUUGCAGAAUCUUGGCGGAAGCAGUAGGUCUGACAAUUCAGACGCAUUACUGCUUUUUGCCUACUGUAGAGGAAGGUAGUAGGGAUGUUCAGAUGCAGCCAUAAUGUCCUGGAGCAUCGGUGAAACAAGUUAGUUCCUGUUUUUAUUUAAGAUGUAUAGUCAGUUUCUUUUCUUUUAACCAUGAAACCUGUUAUGUUAUCCCCCAUCCCCCCGUCUCAGCUCAUGACUCACCUGACAUUAGUAAUCGCAUGUUCCAGUGUGCAGCGAUUACACAUGGACUGUGUGUUCAGUGCUGAGAGGAUGAAGCAGGCUGCUUUUCAAUUUGUUCGAGCAACACGAAUCAUAAGAGUCAUGUGUUUUUCAGAUACAGCGUCGGUUCAGUGUGUCUCACUGGCGUCUACAUGGUAAAUGAACCAACUUUAAAUAUUCUGUAGCAUUUUAAAAAUAACUGUAGCUUAGUAAGUCCUGUUAUCUAUAAUAGGUGGACUGUGUUAUCGUGAUAUGUGCGUUAUUGGUCUUUAUACCACAGCGCAGUUGAAUGCUCGAAUCUGGUUGGUCAGAAGGUGUGUAUUAUUUUCCUAUACCAGUGCAGGUAGAUCCAGCUGUAACCUGAACCACAGCUUUAUAUUAAUGCGCUUAAUAAUAAUAAUAAGAUGAUGUUAUUGUUUCUAUAGUAACGGCUCACACACAGAGACUUGUAUAUAAUAAUGAACAGAUAUUAAAAUUACGUUGUUUAACAAAAGUAAAAGAAAGCAUAAUCGAUUGUGGCAUUUUUUUGUUAGGAGACAUUUAUUUAACAUUUACCGAAGCGGUCUCUUGCUGUGUAACAGUCACGGUGCUGUGUGAAGUUUAACAGCACAGGAAAGUGUUCAGGACGGAGCCGUUUACACUUUUCUGGCUUCUCAGUAAAAUGAUGAGCUGUGGGGUUUUGUGUGUUAGGAAAUGUUUAUGGUAGUUAUAACGGAAGUGAGAACAGGAACUAACUUGUAGUGCUGGGUAAAAAAUAUCGAUUUUCUGAUUGUAAUCGAUCUUCAAUUUAACGAAACGGUAUGGCAUUGGGAAAUCCCCAAAUCCGUUCUCAACACUUUACCCGAGAGGAAGUGAAUAUCAUGUUAUUCGUCUCUCGUCCUGAACACGUCUCCACCUUUCAUGUUUUGAAUUUUGAAAACGGUUUCAUUUCUUAAACGUUUCAAGUUGUUAAUGAAUUUCACUGUUGCACAUUUACAAUGUUUUAAUUUACAGUGUUUGUUACUCAAAGUAAAAGUAAAAAGUAAUUAAACAUAAUUGUGUGGGCUUAAUUGUUAAAGUAAAUGUGUAUUUCAGUAAUAUAGCUAAGUAGGAGGGUUUCAGUCACCAGCAUUAAUAUUAAAACAUGGAUUCCAUGUCUGCAAAACUAACAUUGUAAAUGAAAUAUUCGAUAUUGAAUCGAAUUGAAACCAUAUGAAUAAGAACCGAAUCAAAUCGCUAAAUUGGUCGCAAUACCCAGCCCUACUAACCCGUCUCUCGAACGUUCCACAACACUAAAUCUAACUAUAAACCAUUGAAACUUGUGAAGUUCCGUACAUUAAUAAAUGAAACGUUAUCGUCGGCAAGUCGCUGUGGUGUGGAAUAACACCCUCCAGACCACGCUGUUAUGUCAAUAACUGUAUGUAAAUGACAUGUUUUCCUCCUCACCCAGCCAGCGUACACUGCAGCGCCGGUUGCUGCCUAACGUUGAGUCUUAUGUUUAAGAAGAUUCAUCAGGUUAGUUGUAUUGUAGAAAGAUGCUGUAGUUCCUCCUUUAGAUAUUUCCUCACAGCACAGUUUGCAGUCUGCUUUGCUUUGGUUGCCGUCGUUAAUGGUGAAAUACGUCCAGAUCGCCGUCACGUCACGCCGUCUGUUCGUCAGCGUUACAGCGUACACUAGGUCUUAUAGCGUGGAGUCGGAUGCUGGUAUUCCUUGCUCUGAGUGAAUGAACACCGAAUCGAGCGGAUGUCAGUGUCAGUGUGUCUGUGUGUAUUGUAGUUGUAUUGUGUUACAUAUUCCAAUAUUUCACUUGUAGGAUAAACGGGACAUAUGUUUAGUCGCGUGUCAGUUGCAAUACAUUUAAACCAUUUCCUAAACGUGAGUCGGUUAGAUUGUGUUUCUGUCGUUUGGCAGGUGAAGAGUUACGUAGCAUUUUAUCUCCGUACGAAGCAGAACACUGACGAUGAGAAACGUCUCCUGAAGGCAGCUGUAUGCACGGAUAAGGGUGUACGAGAAAAAUGACGGUCCUUGUGGUCUUGGCAGGCGCUAAGCAACGAUGGCGUGUGUGUGUGUGUGUGUGUGUGUGUGUGUGUGUGUGUGUGUUGCCUCUUGGCCAGAACUCCAGUUUGAAUUAGACUAUUGAGCAACAGAAAUUCCCCUUUUCAUCUAAAGAAGACAGAAUUCACAACUACUUCAGCCUCUUUCUUUCUUUUCAUUAACCCCCCCCCCCCCCUUUCCCCUCCCUUCCCUUCUAGCUUCUUGAGAAACUUGCUCAUCAUGUGUGCGAGCUUUAAAGUAAAAGCUGUUACUUUCAGUGUGGCUAUUAAGACUGCAUGAUUCCUCAUUCUCCAGAUUUCUCUUUUUGUUUAUUCACGUUGUUGUUGUUUUCAUGGAGCAGCAUUUUACCCAAACUUAGCAUCUCACCUCAAGGCUGCGGUCAUACAGCUACACAAGCAGUGCUGUUCACGUACACAGUUGUGUACCUUGUUUUGUACAGCCGGAGGAAUAAAAAGCUCUCCACUCGAGAUCAGUCCUCUCCAGCACAGGAACACUGUGACUGACCGCUUCCUUUAAUUGUGCAGAGCAAGAUAUAUGGUGAAGGUGGAAGGCGCGGAGGAGGUUAUGAUGCUGUGUGUUGGAGGGCGAUCGGUUUUGCCGAUAAAUCGGCACGAUCGGUUAUCGGGAGAAAAUACACACCGUUAGUGUUUCCCGGUUAUGUCCAUUGCAAGAGCAGUUGAGAAGAGUCCGCUGUCAUUAUACAGGACUCUAGAGGAGAAAUAAAACAAUCACUGACCAAUUUUGUUGUGUUAUUUGAAGUGGGUUUUUUUUGUUGUUGUUGUUUUUUUAUUAAUUUUGGAUGUUUUCUAUUUUAAUUUGUUAUUUAGAAUGUUACUGUUUUGGUUCAGUUUGGAUGUAUAUCCUUUAUUUACUUUAAUAUUUACGAAUAGUAAGGCUGCGCCGAUUGAUCGGUCGGCGAUCGUUAUCCGCUGAUAAUCGCUUUAAAUAGUUUGAUCGGCGGUCUCUAUAAAGGCUGGCCUACAAGAGCAGAUCAGGUUACUCAAAACUUGUGAGACAAUUUAGUUAAGCGCUAAGAGAGAGUGGGAUAGUUCAGCAUCUCCGGCUCCACUCACUCGGAUGUCGGUAACCGAGAAGUUUCAAAGACCGCAACCUUACAGUGUAAAGAAAUAUCAGAUAAAAUACUGGAAUUCAUAUGAUCCUUGAUCACCAGCCGCUGUCUAUUGGAGUGCACGUAACCCUUUAACCCUCGGUCGGAUCGGGGACACCUCACUCGGGGGUAAGCAGCUAUGAUUUUAAUCAUCUCUUGUGCAGGAAAUUCUUUGCCCGCUUUUAAACACUGUUUAAAUUGAGUAGCAGUUCUCGGCUAACCAGCUAGCCCUGAUUAGCGCUGUAGGAGGCUAGCUAGCCUCAGCAAAUACAGCUCUCCAAGCGGUUAUUUGUGCAUAUGUUUUGCAUUGCGAGCACAUAGCGGCUCAGUCGUUAGCACGUUCGCCUCACACCUCCAGGGUCGGGGGUUCGAUUCCCACCGCUGCCCUGUGUGUGCGGAGUUUGCAUGUUCUCCCCGUGCUGCGGGGGUUUCCUCUGGGUACUCCCGUG
ensembl:lncRNA